rnacentral:lncRNA from 1 species
AAAACACAAAACUUAUAAAACUGUGAUUCUCUCUCCGAAGGUAACAACAAAGAUCGAUACUUUAUUUAAUUUUAAUGCUUUCCCUUGGAUCAGUUUUUUUCUUAAAACUUUUCCGUAUCAGGGGAAGAAGAGGAUUUGAGAUAUGUUAUGAAGCUUCUUCAUUUAUGAUUUACAAAUCUGAUUUUUUCUUUAAUACAUUUUUAUUUCUGAUUCAGGAUGGUGAAAAAUCUGAUGAUGCUGGUUAUUUGAGAAGCGGGAGAGUCUCCGGAGGAUUGUUGCCGGAGCUAUUUUCCGGUGACAUUGCUCUCUCAUACUCUGUUUCCAAAAACCUUUUCCCCUCCAUCUGUAAGAAACCUUUUCACACUUCUUUUUCUUCACAUACUAAAUAUUAACUAAAAAGAAAUCUAGAUUUAAAAGCAUGAUUUAAUAAACUUUUAGGGUUCACUCUAAAUUUCAUCUGUAAGAAACUUAUUAUUUUAUUUCCCCUAGUAUUAACAAGAAAUCUAGAUUGAAGACCAUAGUUUUCAUUCAUAUGUAGUAGAUGCGAGUAUGAAGGUGCAUCUAUCUAAUAUUGUCCAUCUAUAUGUGUAUAAAGUGAUUAAUUGUUAGCUUCUAGAAGAGAUGGUACCUUUGUUAGCUGGCUAACCAAAACCUGGUUCUCUGCUCUCAACAUCUUCUCCUGUUAGAACAACAUCACAAAUCCAUCAGUUUUCUAACAAGUUCUGAAACAUCGAACUUUGACCCAUCACAGUCCCCACUCGAGUAAGGACUGGGGAGUGGGGAGAGUCGACUUUGAUCAAGAUUUUAACAAAGCCUUUUUGAUUCUCAUUAGAGUUUCAUUUAAAUGAAGCCAAGAAUAAAUCAGACCAAAAAGACUUUAUAUAGAGAGAUUAACACGUACGGUCAAGUGAUCUGCAUACUCUGAGGUUAAGAGGAUUGAAGAAUUAG